GACGAACGCUGGCGGCGUGCUUAACACAUGCAAGUCGAACGGAAAGGCCCUGCUUUUGUGGGGUGCUCGAGUGGCGAACGGGUGAGUAACACGUGAGUAACCUGCCCUUGACUUUGGGAUAACUUCAGGAAACUGGGGCUAAUACCGGAUAGGAGCUCCUGCUGCAUGGUGGGGGUUGGAAAGUUUCGGCGGUUGGGGAUGGACUCGCGGCUGAUCAGCUUGUUGGUAGGGUAGUAGCAUACCAAGGCGUUGACGCGUAGCCGGUCUGAGAGGAUGACCAGCCACACUGGGACUGAGACCCGGCCCAGACUCCUACGGGAGGCAGCAGUGGGGAAUAUUGUACGAGGAGCGAAAGCCUGAUCAAGCAAUGCCGCGGGAGUGAUGAAGGCCUUAGGGUUGUAAAGCUCUUUUACCCGGGAUGAUAAUGACAGUACCGGGAGAAUAAGCACCGGCUAACUACGUG
rnacentral:rRNA from 1 species